rnacentral:rRNA from 1 species
AGAAGAAGCACCGGCUAACUCCGUGCCAGCAGCCGCGGUAAUACGGAGGGUGCGAGCGUUAAUCGGAAUUACUGGGCGUAAAGCGCAUGCAGGUGGUUUGUUAAGUCAGAUGUGAAAGCCCGGGGCUCAACCUCGGAACUGCAUUUGAAACUGGCAGACUAGAGUACUGUAGAGGGGGGUAGAAUUUCAGGUGUAGCGGUGAAAUGCGUAGAGAUCUGAAGGAAUACCGGUGGCGAAGGCGGCCCCCUGGACAGAUACUGACACUCAGAUGCGAAAGCGUGGGGAGCAAACAGGAUUAGAUACCCUGGUAGUCCACGCUGUAAACGAUGUCUACUUGGAGGUUGUGGCCUUGAGCCGUGGCUUUCGGAGCUAACGCGUUAAGUAGACCGCCUGGGGAGUACGGUCGCAAGAUUAAAACUCAAAUGAAUUGACGGGGGCCCGCACAAGCGGUGGAGCAUGUGGUUUAAUUCGAUGCAACGCGAAGAACCUUAC